UACAGAGGUCCCAAGCGUUGUUCGGAUUUACUGGGAGUAAAGGGUGCGUAGGUGGCGGGGUAAGUCUGGUGUGAAAGCUUCGAGCUCAACUCGGAAAAGCAUUGGAAACUAUCCCGCUGGAGGGUCGGAGGGGAGACUGGAAUUCUCGGUGUAGCAGUGAAAUGCGUAGAUAUCGAGAGGAACACCAGUGGCGAAGGCGAGUCUCUGGACGACUCCUGACACUGAGGCACGAAAGCUAGGGGAGCAAACAGG
rnacentral:rRNA from 1 species